CACGAACUGCGCAAACGUUAUUCGGAAUCACUGGGCUUAAAGAGUUCGUAGGCGGCGCGUUAAGUCGGGUGUGAAAUCCCUCGGCUCAACCGAGGAAUUGCGCCCGAAACUGGCGUGCUUGAGUAAGAUAGAGGUGAGCGGAACUGAUGGUGGAGCGGUGAAAUGCGUUGAUAUCAUCAGGAACACCGGUGGCGAAAGCGGCUCACUGGGUCUUAACUGACGCUGAGGAACGAAAGCUAGGGUAGCGAACGGG
rnacentral:rRNA from 1 species